GCCCCCGUAGCCCAAUCGGCAGAGGCGGUCGACUUAAAAUCGACGCAGUGCGGGUUCGAGUCCCGUCGGGGGCA
rnacentral:tRNA from 1 species